rnacentral:sRNA from 1 species
UCACACAAUAACCAGGUUGUAAUGAU